UACGGAGGGGGCUAGCGUUGUUCGGAAUUACUGGGCGUAAAGGGCGCGUAGGCGGCGGGGUAAGUCGGGUGUGAAAUCUCAGAGCUCAACUCUGAAACUGCACUCGAUACUGCUCUGCUUGAGGACUGGAGAGGAGACUGGAAUUCACGGUGUAGCAGUGAAAUGCGUAGAUAUCGUGAGGAAGACCAGUGGCGAAGGCGGGUCUCUGGACAGUUCCUGACGCUGAGGCGCGAAGGCCAGGGGAGCAAACGGG
rnacentral:rRNA from 1 species